UACAGAGGGUGCGAGCGUUGUCCGGAAUCACUGGGCGUAAAGGGCGCGUAGGUGGCGACCCAAGUCGAUGGUGAAAGCUCGCCGCUCAACGGCGAGUCGGCCACUGAUACUGGGUUGCUGGAGCACUGUAGAGGCAGAUGGAAUUCCGGGUGUAGCGGUGGAAUGCGUAGAGAUCCGGAAGAACACCGGUGGCGAAGGCGGUCUGCUGGGCAGUUGCUGGAC
rnacentral:rRNA from 1 species